rnacentral:ncRNA from 3 species
GCGCGUCACGCGGGAGAGAACUCCACUGGAGUCGCCGAAGGCGCAACCCCCGGAACCGCUCAGGCAAAAGGACCGCGUGCGAAGU